GGAGGGGUUGCAGUAAUACUUUCAAUCAUCACAAAGAGUAUUUAAGACUAUACUAAUACAAGAAUUUCGAAUAAGUGCAAUAAUUGUGAAAGGUGCGGCGCGACUAGAAUGUGAAUUACUCAAGUUAAUUUUCAAAGCUCAAGUUACAGGUUUUAAAGGUCGGAGGCGCGUGGAAGGAAUUGAGCAAAAUUGGAGAUGGAUCUUGUGGAUGGAAGAAAUCGUAGGAAGUCGAGAUUUUGGAUGAAAUUGACAUGAAUUUGACGAAGAUGAUGGACUGUGAAGAAGAAGUUUGGAGAUCGGGCUUAGAAUUAAUUGUCUAGAAUUUAUUUAGCCCAAAACUCUUCUUUUUAAUUAUAUUUUGAGGUCUCAUUUUGAUUAAGGGCCGCAGUCCAUUUAUGGAGGUAGUUAGCAGUGCCUUAGGGAUUCUAAUCCCUUAAAUUAGUUAAUUUCUUUUUGAUUUAGCUGCCACCUCUAGACCUAUAUAUAUUAGGAGUUGACUUUGAGUUAGGGACACCUUUGAUUACUUUUAUUUCAAGCAAUUCACGUUUUUUUGAUUUUA